UUAGUAAAGAGAAAACUGUUAGGUAUAAAUUGAACACUGAUACUUUGUUUGGAUAUGAAAAAAUUGACUUUCCUCUUUGUGCAGCUCCGGCGUCUACUACUUUGAUGGGAAGGUAUGUGGGAGUUUUCUUGGAUUGAAUUGUGGGGGCUUUUGUAAAAAUAGGAACAUUUUGGCCCAAUAAUUAGAAAAAAGGAACAUUUAGAAUGGGCUUAUAGGUUUGGGCAUAUGUUUGCAACAAAUAUGACGCUUUUGCCCUUCGUCUUCAACACCAUCGUCUUCAACACCAUUGUCCAGACAUCGAUUUUGACGAUUCAUAGUGUUAUUAACAACACCAUCGUCUUCAACAAAAUUUUCCAGCCAACAUGUCUAUUCUGAUUAACCCAAUCAAUCAAAAUAAAUGAUUUUUGAUUGAAGAAAUCUAAACCCUAAAGGGAUACUAUCUAGGGAACCCUUGGGUUCUAAUCUUAAACACUCCAAUUCAUUAUUAAUUCUAAACCAAAUUUGAUUUUUAUUGUCAAUAGAGUUCAUCAUCAUCGUCACCAACUAAUAACAGAGGAUUUGGAAAAGUAAUUCUAGAGAUCCAAACUAUCACCUUCGCUUCUCACUAUCGCUCAACUCACCAUCGUCGUUGAAACUCACCAUCGUCGCCAACGCUAAUUGGAGGUCGAGAUCUUGCCGUCUUUUUCAUCACGAGACAUGAUUCAUGAGUCACCGCCGUUGCUUCUUACCGUUGUCAAAAUCGUUGUUGUUGCAGGAGCUCAAUCACCAUUGUAGGUUCAGUGAGCCGGCCCGGGAGAAGCGUUGCCAAAAAAGAAUAAAGACAAAGGUAACAAAUAAACAAAGAAGACACAACAGUGAAUUCAUCUAAUCCAAAGUUGUAUGUGGUUUCCGAAAUGCUUCCUUUGUCUUGUUCCGAAUCUCUCUGUCGAUGAACUUGAAAAUGGUGUUUCACGUUCAUUCAAUAAAAAAUAACAACCAUAGUGUACACAGAGACUGAUAGUGAAAUAAAGGAA